AUUUUAUGUCACUAUAAUAGUGCUUUACUAACCUCGCCAGGUUGGAAACAAAGCAACGAUAUGUUGAAGUAUUAUGUAUAGUGACAUGAUAACAU
rnacentral:SRP_RNA from 1 species